rnacentral:rRNA from 1 species
UGGGGAAUAUUGCGCAAUGGACGAAAGUCUGACGCAGCGACGCCGUGUGUGGGAGGAAGCUCUUCGGGGUGUAAACCACUGUCAGGAGGGAAGAACGGCGCCGGUUCGAAUAGUUCCGGCGAUUGACGGUACUUCCAAAGGAAGCGCCGGCUAACUCCGUGCCAGCAGCCGCGGUAAGACGGAGGGCGCAAGCGUUGUUCGGAAUUACUGGGCGUAAAGCGCGGGCAGGUGGUCUGUUAAGUCGUUUGUGAAAAUCCGGGGCUCAACCGAGAAACUGCCAUUGAUACUGUUAGUCUAGAGUACAGAUGAUGUGGCGGAAUAUGACAUGUAGUGGUGAAAUACUUAGAUAUGUCAUAGAACACCGAUUGCGAAGGCAGCUCACAAAACUGUAACUGACGCUGAGACACGAAAGUNCGGGGAUCAAACAGGAUUAGAUACCCUGGUAGUCCCUGAGCGGGCUGGCAAGGCGCAU